UCAAGCAAAAGCAAAACAUUUCCCUCUGCUGCGAAGCUCACACAACCGCUCACCAUUGAUGGCAAGGAUUACGUUCCUGAACCUCCAUUUGCUGAAGAGAAAGCAAAAAUCUGGCAUUCCCAGGUAUUAAUCCCUUUCUCCCUGACUGACAAACCUUUAGCAUUCUUAGGUCCACUUUCAGAAAAUCGUUGUCUUGAGAUAACCAAAACAGAUUCCUUUUUCCCCACCAGUCAUCUCUCUGAACCUUUGGUUUCUUCCCAAAAGCCUUUCUCCCUUCGUUAUAUCAAC
rnacentral:lncRNA from 1 species